GACGAACGCUGGCGGCGUGCCUAAUACAUGCAAGUCGAGCGGGCUGAAUGGGAGCUUGCUCUUGUUCGGUCAGCGGCGGACGGGUGAGUAACACGUGGGCAACCUGCCCGCAAGACCGGGAUAACUCCGGGAAACCGGAGCUAAUACCGGAUAACACCGAAGACCGCAUGGUCUUUGGUUGAAAGGCGGCGCAAGCUGCCACUUGCGGAUGGGCCCGCGGCGCAUUAGCUAGUUGGUGAGGUAACGGCUCACCAAGGCGACGAUGCGUAGCCGGCCUGAGAGGGUGACCGGCCACACUGGGAAUGAGACACGGCCCAGACUCCUACGGGAGGCAGCAGUAGGGAAUCUUCCGCAAUGGGCGAAAGCCUGACGGAGCGACGCCGCGUGAGCGAAGAAGGCCUUCGGGUCGUAAAGCUCUGUUGUGAGGGACGAAGGAGCGCCGUUUGAAGAAGGCGGCGCGGUGACGGUACCUCACGAGGAAGCCCCGGCUAACUACGUG
rnacentral:rRNA from 1 species